rnacentral:rRNA from 1 species
GACGAACGCUGGCGGCGUGCUUAACACAUGCAAGUCGAACGGUAAGGCCCUUCGGGGUACACGAGUGGCGAACGGGUGAGUAACACGUGGGUGAUCUGCCCUGCACUUCGGGAUAAGCCUGGGAAACUGGGUCUAAUACCGGAUAGGACUCCUGGCUUCAUGGUUGGGGGUGGAAAGCUUUUGCGGUGUGGGAUGGGCCCGCGGCCUAGCAGCGUGUUGGUGGGGUAAUGGCCUACCAAGGCGACGACGGGUAGCCGGCCUGAGAGGGUGACCGGUCACACUGGGACUGAGAUACGGCCCAGACUCAUACGGGAGGCAGCAGUGGGGGAGAGUGCACAAGGGGCGCAAGCCGGAUGCAGCGACGCCGCGUGAGGGAUGACGGCCUUCGGGUUGUAAACCUCUUUCAGCUAUGACGAAGCGCAAGUGACGGUAGUAGCAGAAGAAGGACCGGCCAACUACGUGCCAGCCGCCGCGGUAA